GUAAAGGUCCUUGACUUUGUUUUAUGGCUAAACUAUUAGCAUUUUGUCUUGCUUGACUGUUUUCCUUUGUUUCUGCAUUUUUCACUUCUCUGAUUAGAUCUGUUCUUUGGGACUCGGGGAGGGCCUAGAAGGCUAAAGCUUUUCUGUAAACAAGAGGCGGGGCUGGGGGAGAGAAGUCUGUCCCCCAGAAGGCCCUGCAGUGGCCAGCUCGGUUUCAAAAACUUAAAACCUUGUAAAGCAGGAGUAACCCGCAGGUCGAUCAUAAGGCAACCUGGCAAUUCUGUCUCCAUUACAACGCCCGCCCUUUGUGCCUUGGCGUGCUCCUUCAGCAGGGGUGUGUCGCACACGCAUCCCUGCGGGCCUGUGGCUGCAGUUCUCAGCGCUCACGCGGGUUUUGAUACAAGACAAGCCCCCCGACCCGUCACGGGCAACAGCAGAUGGCUGCCUUCUCUGGUACAGCAGAGCACUGAGGGGCAGGGACUCUGGAAUCCAACUGUGCGCGUUCACAUUCCAGCUCCACCGCCUACCUGCUGUGUGACCUUGGACAAUGUAACUCUGAGCCUCAGCUUCCUCAUCAUGAUGGCGGGUAGGGUGACCUCUCUGUGGUGUGGACUGAGCGAGUUUAUGCAUGUAAAUCCCUCAGAGCUGGGACUGAAACAAGUUUUACCUAUAUUGUAUUACAAAGUAUGCAUUGUUCGAAGAUUCCCAGCGGUGUUUAUAAAAAUCACUGACUGAAUUCUUUUCUCUGCUCAUUAUGAUUCUGACUUCAUCAAAAGGAAAAGAUUCUGUAGCAGCACGCUUAUACACAUACAAGAGCUGAAAUGAGAAUAUCCCUAAAGUAAUGACCUCAGAGUAAGAAUAGCCAUCCCAGGUGCUUGUAGAAAAUCACUUUUUAAUUUUUAUUAGGUCAACCAAAAUCAGCCCCUCAGUUUUCUAAGCUUUUCCGACAGAGACCAGAAAUUUGAAUUUAGAACCAACUUCCUUUCUUGAUUACAAUCUUGAGACUAUUUUCUGGGAACAGAAUGCCACGUUUUCCAGAAAGAUCCCCACCCCCUUGCUUCUCAACACAGAGCAAGCUACUUCCUGCCAUAUUGUUGCCCUGCACGUUCUCGCAAACAGAAAAAGCACGUGUUGGGUUUCCUCUGCACUGGAACCAACACCUGUAUGACAGCAGCAAACACGAUGACAGUAUGUAGCCCUGAAAUGGUCUGCAUGCCUUACUUUUAUCCAGGUCUUCAUAGCACACGGCUAAAUGGGCUCUUCGUGCUCCUGGUGCUUGCUUAAUUUAACAAGAAAAUGAUGUG